rnacentral:misc_RNA from 1 species
AACCUAGCACACCUGCGGUGUGUACCUGCGGAAGGAUCAUUACACAAUACAAUAUGAAGGCUGUCCGCAGCUGGAGUAUUUUAUUACCCUUGUCUUUUGCGCACUUGUUGUUUCCUGGGCGGGUUCGCUCGCCACCAGGACCACCAAAUAAACCUUUUUUAUGCAGUUGCAAUCAGCGUCAGUACAAACAAUGUAAAUCAUUUACAACUUUUAACAAUGGAUCUCAGAUCGGAAGAGCAC